rfam:Otolemur garnettii contig086000, whole genome shotgun sequence.
GAUCUCACAAGGCAGCACACAUGCUAAUAUUGGAAUGAUACAGAGAAGAUGACUGGCAUGGCUCCUGUGCAAGAAUAACACGCAAAUUUGUGAAGCAUUCCAUUAAAAA